rnacentral:rRNA from 1 species
GACGAACGCUGGCGGCGCGCCUAACACAUGCAAGUCGAACGAGCGAGAGAGAGCUUGCUUUCUCAAGCGAGUGGCGAACGGGUGAGUAACGCGUGAGGAACCUGCCUCAAAGAGGGAGACAACAGUUGGAAACGACUGCUAAUACCGCAUAAGCCCACAGGUCGGCAUCGACCAGAGGGAAAAGGAGCAAUCCGCUUUGAGAUGGCCUCGCGUCCGAUUAGCUAGUUGGUGAGGUAACGGCCCACCAAGGCAACGAUCGGUAGCCGGACUGAGAGGUUGAACGGCCACAUUGGGACUGAGACACGGCCCAGACUCCUACGGGAGGCAGCAGUGGGGAAUAUUGCACAAUGGGGGAAACCCUGAUGCAGCGACGCCGCGUGGAGGAAGAAGGUCUUCGGAUUGUAAACUCCUGUUGUUGAGGAAGAUAAUGACGGUACUCAACAAGGAAGUGACGGCUAACUACGUG